rnacentral:tRNA from 1 species
GGAGGGAUACCCUAGNGGCCAAAGGGAGGAGACUGUAAAUCUCCCGUCGUAAGACUUCGGUAGUUCAAAUCUACCUCCCUCCACCA